rnacentral:rRNA from 1 species
GAUGAACGCUGGCGGCGUGCCUAAUACAUGCAAGUCGAGCGAACAGACGAGGAGCUUGCUCCUCUGACGUUAGCGGCGGACGGGUGAGUAACACGUGGAUAACCUACCUAUAAGACUGGGAUAACUUCGGGAAACCGGAGCUAAUACCGGAUAAUAUAUUGAACCGCAUGGUUCAAUAGUGAAAGACGGUUUUGCUGUCACUUAUAGAUGGAUCCGCGCCGCAUUAGCUAGUUGGUAAGGUAACGGCUUACCAAGGCGACGAUGCGUAGCCGACCUGAGAGGGUGGUCGGACACACUGGAAGUGAGACACGGUCCAGACUCCUACGGGAGGCAGCAGUAGGGAAUCUUCCGCAAUGGGCGAAAGCCUGACGGAGCAACGCCGCGUGAGUGAUGAAGGUCUUCGGAUCGUAAAACUAUGUUAUUAGGGAAGAACAAAUGUGUAAGUAACUAUGCACGUCUUGACGGUACCUAAUCAGAAAGCCACGGCUAACUACGUG